CCAAAAGGGACAAGCCCGAAGGAAAAGAAGAAGAAGAUGAUUAUAUUGCGCCCCCCUGGAGAAAACUCCACCAGCCGCCACUGGGUGGUGCUAUUUUAAACAAACUUCCAAAUGUUUGUGUUCCCCCCCUUCAGUGUGAAAUGGGUCUGGUUUCUUAACGAUAUGGCAAAGGAUACCAUAUUCGGGAUGAUGAAACAUACAAGUGAGAAGCGAGUAUUUGAAAUGAAGGCGCGGGAGUUGAAGAAGCGGAGUGUGUACAGCAAGGCACUGUGAGGACAAAGCACGUCCACGUUCGCCGCAUUGUGAGGGGAAACAAGACAGACGAGUACCUCAAUCCAAGACUUUUGGAGCACAGACCACGUGUUGUGACGGGGUGACGUCACGGAUCUUGGGUUUUCCCGAAACGGCUUUUUAGUGCAACUUGACUGCCACGUCGCGUCAACUUCCCGGAGCACCAGGAGGAAUCUCUUGCCGCCAUGUACGCGCAACGAGAAUGUCGUCUUGGACCUGAACAGGAGGACCUAACUAACAUGGCUGAGCGGCUCUUAUAAAGGGAUAGUCAUGGGUUUCUCUACCCUCCUGCUGGCUAGUGCUGUGUCCUCACUGGGAGGUCUGGUUUUUGGUUACGAACUGGGCAUCAUCUCUGGUGGUCUGCUGCAGCUCAAGGUUGAGUUCGGACUCAGCUGCAUCCAGCAGGAGGCGCUGGUCAGCUCCCUGUUGAUCGGAGCCUUGCUAGCCUCUCUGGUGGGAGGAGCCCUGAUCGACCGUUACGGCUGCAGAAAGUCCAUCCUGCUCAGUAAUCUCCUAAUGACGACUGGAAGUCUCAUCUUGCUUAUCAGCUCCUACCAAACCCUAUUGUUUGGCAGGUUCACAGUGGGCUUCGCCAUGUGCCAAUCCUCCAUGUCCUGCUGCAUCUUUGUGUCGGAGAUGGUAACUCCUGAACGUAGGGGCUUUUUGGUAACACUGUACGAAGCUGGGAUCACUGUGGGCAUCCUUAUAGCUUACACCAUGAACUACAUUUUGUUUGACUUACAAAUGGGCUGGAAGUGGAUGUUUGGCUUAGCUGUAGUACCAAACUUGAUUCAACUUGUCUCUAUAUGGUUCCUCCCGUCGAACACUGAGGUGCAAUGUACAGACAUUCAUCCUGAAACAGCUCUUAUGACUGCCAUUGAAACCCAAGACGAAGCUCGGUCUAACAGCAGCAAGGAAGGCGAGGUGGUGCAGUAUGAUGUCAUGUACCUUUUCCAGCGUAAAGACAACAUGAGGACCCGCACCAUCAUCGGGCUAGGACUGGUGCUUUUCCAGCAGUUGACAGGCCAGCCAAAUGUUCUCUUUUAUGCCUCCACCAUAUUUCACAGUGCAGGGUUUCAGAGCGACAACUCUGCAGUGCUAGCAUCGGUUGGUAUUGGAACAGUCAAAGUGAUUGCCACUCUCACCUCCAUGGUGUAUUCUGACAAAGUGGGAAGGAGGCCUUUGCUCAUCAGUGGAUGCUGUCUCAUGGGUUUUUGUCUGAUAUGCAUCGGACUUCUCAGUGGAAAUUCACUAAAGGAUUCGAUGGGGCCUUGUAGCUCAGAGGACUCAAUUGGCAACAAAACGAGUCAACUUCAUUUAACAGUUGGAAAUGACACACCUCUGAACACACCUUUUGAUGAGGACCACAAACUUCAAGCUGCUGGUGCACUAGUUGUUCGAAACCAAACAGAAAAACCUCUGAAACCUGCCAUUGAAUCUUCUCCCAGCAUUCGUGACAAAGUUUUCAGCUGGAUCAUUCUAAUGUGCAUGAUGGCAGUUGUCACUGCAUACUCCAUUGGAUUUGGACCAAGGGUCGCCACACCGCGUCGUCCUUUUCCAUAAGAUACAUCAAGUACUCACCUGCCUGCCUCUCUGAUCACCUUGGCUGCAGUGGUCCAGUCUUCUGGAAGCUCCUCCCGUCCACCGAGAGCCUGUCUCACCUCUUCCCGAAAAGCUGCACAACACUCGUCCUGUCUCAGCUUCCACCACAUGGUUCUCUGCUCUGCCUUUAUCUUCCUAAUCUUCCUCCCCACCACCAAAGUCAUCUUACACACCACCAUCCUAUGCUGUCUGGCCACACCCUCCCCUACCACAACCUUACAGUCGGUAACCUCCUUCAGAUUACAUCGUCUGUACAAGAUGUAAUCCACCUGCGUGCUUCUACAUCCGCUCUUGUAGGUCAACCUAUGUUCCUGCCUCUUCCGGAAAAAAGUGUUCACUACAGCCAUUUGCAUCCUUUUUGCAAAGUCUACCACCAUCUGUCCCUCCAAGUUCCUUUCCUGGAUGCCGUACUUACCCAUCACUUCUUCAUCACCCCUAUUUCCUUCACCAACAUGUCCAUUCACCAACAUGUCCAUUACAAUCUGCACCAAUCACGAGUCUCUCUCUGUCUGAACUACUUCGUCUAGCUCAUUCCAGAAUUUCUCUUUCACCUCUAGGUCACAUCCUACCUGUGGGGCUUCGUCGCUAAUCACAUUUUCCCCCAAACACUCUCAAUUUAAAGUUUCUGCCUCAUCACUCGAUCUGAUACUCUUUUCACCUCCAAGACAUUCUUAGCCAACUCUUCUUUUAAAAUAACCCCCGACUCCAUUUCUCUUCCCAUCUACACCAUGGUAAAAUAAUUUCAACCCUGCCCCUAGACUUCUAGCCUUACUGCCUUUCCACCUGGUCUCCUGGCCACACAAUAUAUCAACCUUUCUCCUAAUCAUCAUGUCAACCAACUCCUGAGAUUUUCCUGUCAUAGUCCCAACAUUUGGAGUCCCUACAUUCAGUUCUAGGCUAUGUGCUUUCCUCUUCUCUUUCUGCCGAAGAACCUGCUUUCCUCCUCUUCUUCUUCUUUGAGUUCGACACACAGCAGCUGAAUUUCCACCGGCGCCCUGCAGGUUGACGGCGCCGGUGGCGGACGUUGUUUAGCUGGACCAGGACCGAUCCGCGCCUACCUGAGGGAAGGAGCUGGAAGAGCCAGUGACCGGGAUCUGGAGGGUCCGAGAGGAUUUUGCACGCUCUUGUCUUAGUUCUGGCAGCGUGCAAGUCCUCAAGGGUGAGUAGGGGCGUACCGACAAUCCUUUCAGCAGUUUUGAUUGUCCGUUGCAGUCGGAGUUUGUCCUUUUUUGUAGCAGCACCAAACCAGACGUUGAGGACGGAGUUGAUGUUGGUCGCCCACUUCAGGUCCUGAGAGAUUGUAAUUCCCAGGAACUUGAAGGUCUCGACAGUUGACACAAGGCAGCUGGACAACGCACCACAGCUCCAGCCGUUCCGCUUCCUGUCGAAAUGCAGACUCGUCACCGUCCAUGAUGAGGCUGAUGACAGUGGUGUCAUCUGCAAACUUCAGGAGUUUGACAGCCGGGUGCGCUGUGGUGCAGUCGUUCGUGUAGAGAGAGAAGAGCAGCGGAGAGAGGACACAACCUUGGGGCGCCCCAGUGCUGAUGCUGCGUGUGGAUGAGGUGGCCUCCCCCAGGCUCACCUGCUGUGUCCUGCCCGUCAGGAAGCUCUAAAUCCACUGGCAGAUGGCAGUGACCUGGCUCCUCCUCACUGAAAUAUUUCCCGCUGCUGUGAGAGGAAGAGCAUUCGCAUUCACCAGCUGCUUCAACUGGAGUGCCCACCUCUUGGUUACCUUCACUUUCCUGGAUGUUUUCAAUGCUAUCGGUCU